GGGUUGCUAACUCAAUGGUAGAGUACUCGGCUUUUAACUGAAUAGUUCUGGGUUCAAGUCCCAGGCAGCCCA
rnacentral:tRNA from 1 species